rnacentral:rRNA from 1 species
GUAGGUGGCAAGCGUUGUCCGGAAUUAUUGGGCGUAAAGCGCGCGCAGGCGGUUCUUUAAGUCUGAUGUGAAAGCCCACGGCUCAACCGUGGAGGGUCAUUGGAAACUGGAGAACUUGAGUACAGAAGAGGAAAGCGGAAUUCCACGUGUAGCGGUGAAAUGCGUAGAGAUGUGGAGGAACACCAGCGGCGAAGGCGGCUUUCUGGUCUGUAACUGACGCUGAGGCGCGAAAGCGUGGGGAGCAUACAGGAUUAGAUACCCUGGUAGUCCACGCCGUAAACGAUGAGUGCUAAGUGUUAGGGGGUUUCCGCCCCCCUUAGUGCUGCAGCUAACGCAUUAAGCACUCCGCCUGGGAUACGGCCGCAAGGCUG